GCCACCGCCGCCGCCGCUCGCUUGUGCGCCGUCGCUCCGCGCCCCUGGCCGCUCCACCGCCGCCGCCUUUCCUCGUGCUCCACGCUGCCGCGCCACGCGCCGCCCUAGCCCCGUGCCUCCACGUGUGCCGCCGCCUGUGCGCCGUCGCUAUGCUGCCGCCGCCACCGCCGCCGCAGGCGAAGAUCGUGUCUCCAAGAGCUUCAUCGGAGAGUCACAACGGUCACUCGUGAUCUGCCGCCGUAUCGAUCUGCUGUCGGAACACGUCCACGCUAUGGUCCAACCACAGCCCUCCUCGUCCAGUUCGAUCAUCUCCCAUCGCCGUUCCGUCGUCCAUUGUUGGCCGUAGCCCGUAGCGCUUGUGAGUGCUAAUCUGUUCUUCUUCCCUGGCCACGACUACGAGGCGUGCUAAUCUAUACGUGCAUGUGCAUGGUGUACGUUCUGUACAUGUGCAUGAUGCGUUGCCAGCAAUAGCCGUAGGCACCAGGAGAAGCCCGGCCGCCAGCGCUUAUCGCCGUCGUCGUUGCCGCAUGCCAUCUUGGCCACAAGCUUGCUGCUGCCUUUGUUUUGCCGAGCUGCGUCAAUGUCGUGGCCAGCCUUUCAGAAGGAAACCACCGGCUAUGAAGUCCAAGCAAGAUGACAGCUAUAGCAAAAGACACGUUUGUACAGAAGCGAACAAGUCAUCGUUCAUGCAUCUUGCUCUUGCCAACAGCGACAUCAUGGUGGCGUCAUGCUUAUGUGAAGAUCGAUGUUCGGAAGAUUUGAAGAGUAAGAGUUCCAAGAGAGCAAAAGCCGAAGAGCAGUAAGAAGUAACUUGUCGCUGAAGAAAGGCAAGUGUGUCCUUGUGUUUUUA